AUUGAACGCUGGCGGCAUGCCUUACACAUGCAACUCGAACGGCAGCACGGGUGCUUGCACCUGGUGGCGAGUGGCGAACGGGUGAGUAAUACAUCGGAACAUGUCCUGUAGUGGGGGAUAGCCCGGCGAAAGCCGGAUUAAUACCGCAUACGAUCUACGGAUGAAAGCGGGGGACCUUCGGGCCUCGCGCUAUAGGGUUGGCCGAUGGCUGAUUAGCUAGUUGGUGGGGUAAAGGCCUACCAAGGCGACGAUCAGUAGCUGGUCUGAGAGGACGACCAGCCACACUGGGACUGAGACACGGCCCAGACUCCUACGGGAGGCAGCAGUGGGGAAUUUUGGACAAUGGGCGAAAGCCUGAUCCAGCAAUGCCGCGUGUGUGAAGAAGGCCUUCGGGUUGUAAAGCACUUUUGUCCGGAAAGAAAUCCUUGGCCCUAAUACGGUCGGGGGAUGACGGUACCGGAAGAAUAAGCACCGGCUAACUACGUG
rnacentral:rRNA from 1 species